rnacentral:sRNA from 1 species
CCUCUUCCACCUGCUGGGGGCAGAUGAAGUGAAUAUGGGCGUCGAUGCCCCCGGCGGUGAGAAUCUUGCCCUCGCCGGCGAUCACUUCGGUGCCGGGGCCGAUGACGAUGUCGACGUCCGGUUGCGUAUCCGGAUUGCCGGCCUUGCCGAUGCUCGCGAUAUGGCCCUGCUUGAGUCCCACGUCGGCCUUGACGAUGCCCCACCAGUCGAGAAUCAGGGCAUUGGUGAUGACGGUAUCCAUCACCGCCUCGUCGACGCGCUGGCUCUGUCCCAUGCCAUCGCGG